AGUGGCGAACGGGUGAGUAAUAACAUCGGAACGUACCCCUGUUGUGGGGGAUAACUAGUCGAAAGAUUAGCUAAUACCGCAUACGACCUGAGGGUGAAAGUGGGGGACCGCAAGGCCUCACGCAGCAGGAGCGGCCGAUGUCUGAUUAGCUAGUUGGUGGGGUAAAGGCCCACCAAGGCGACGAUCAGUAGCUGGUCUGAGAGGACGAUCAGCCACACUGGGACUGAGACACGGCCCAGACUCCUACGGGAGGCAGCAGUGGGGAAUUUUGGACAAUGGGGGCAACCCUGAUCCAGCAAUGCCGCGUGUGUGAAGAAGGCCUUCGGGUUGUAAAGCACUUUUGUCCGGAAAGAAAUCGCGCUGGUUAAUACCUGGCGUGGAUGACGGUACCGGAAGAAUAAGCAC
rnacentral:rRNA from 1 species